AGGUAGUUUCAUGUUGUUGGGAUUGCUAAUUUCUUAACGCGGCAACAAGAAACUGCCUUA
rnacentral:pre_miRNA from 1 species